UCCGGUUUGGCACCGGCAGUCUCCCUAGAGUUCCCGGCAUGGUCCGCUGGCAACUAAGGACAGGGGUUGCGCUCGUUGCGCCACUUAAGGCAACACCUCACGGCACGAGCUGACGACAGCCAUGCAGCACCUGUGCCGGCUCCCGAAGGAGCGCCGUGUUUCCACGGUUUCACCCGGCAUGUCAAGCCCUGGUAAGGUUCUUCGCGUCGCGUCGAAUUAAGCCACAUGCUCCGCCGCUUGUGCGGGCCCCCGUCAAUUCCUUUGAGUUUCAGCCUUGCGGCCGUACUCCCCAGGCGGGACACUUACUGCGUUAGCGACGGCACCGGGAGGGUCGCUCCCCCCGACGCCUAGUGUCCAUCGUUUACAGCGUGGACUAC
rnacentral:misc_RNA from 1 species